UACGAAAGGGGCUAGCGUUGCUCGGAAUUACUGGGCGUAAAGCGCACGUAGGCGGAUCUUUAAGUCAGGGGUGAAAUCCUGGAGCUCAACUCCAGAACUGCCUUUGAUACUGAGGACCUUGAGUUCGGGAGAGGUGAGUGGAACUGCGAGUGUAGAGGUGAAAUUCGUAGAUAUUCGCAAGAACACCAGUGGCGAAGGCGGCUCACUGGCCCGAUACUGACGCUGAGGUGCGAAAGCGUGGGGAGCAAACAGG
rnacentral:rRNA from 1 species